GGGUAAUUAGCUCAGUUGGUAGAGCACUUGCUCGACACGCAAGUGGUCACUGGUUCAAGUCCGGUAUUACCCA
rnacentral:tRNA from 1 species